rnacentral:rRNA from 1 species
GACGAACGCUGGCGGCGUGCUUAACACAUGCAAGUCGAACGGAAAGGCCCUGCUUUUGUGGGGUGCUCGAGUGGCGAACGGGUGAGUAACACGUGAGUAACCUGCCCUUGACUUUGGGAUAACUUCAGGAAACUGGGGCUAAUACCGGAUAGGAGCUCCUGCUGCAUGGUGGGGGUUGGAAAGUUUCGGCGGUUGGGGAUGGACUCGCGGCUUAUCAGCUUGUUGGUGGGGUAGUGGCUUACCGAGGCUUUGACGGGUAGCCGGCCUGAGAGGGUGACCGGCCACAUUGGGACUGAGGUACGGCCCAGGCUCCUACGGGAGGCAGCAGUGGGGAAUAUUGCACAAUGGGCGGAAGCCUGAUGCAGCAACGCCGCGUGCGGGAUGACGGCCUUCGGGUUGUAAACCGCUUUCGCCUGUGACGAAGCGUGAGUGACGGUAAUGGGUAAAGAAGCACCGGCUAACUACGUG